GGGCUCCUCAUCAUUGACCUCUUUAACAGAAGGAACUAGACCACUGAGCAGAUAUUCACUGAAGACUAGACUUGCGCGAUAAGGAUUUAAAGUCCUCAGUUGAAUUGACUGAUAUGACUUCAGAUUACAGAACAUGUGGAUCCAAGUUACCACUCCAAAAGAGGCAAGAGCAAGAGAUGUAGAGGAGCGGGUGUAGUUAGCCAAUGCAAUGCCAAGCAUGAUUCCAAUAGCUU
rnacentral:misc_RNA from 1 species